rnacentral:rRNA from 1 species
GACGAACGCUGGCGGCGUGCUUAACACAUGCCAGUCGAACGGAAAGGCCCUGCUUUUGUGGGGUGCUCGAGUGGCGAACGGGUGAGUAACACGUGAGUAACCUGCCCUUGACUUUGGGAUAACUUCAGGAAACUGGGGGUAAUACCGGAUAGGAGCUCCUGCUGCAUGGUGGGGGUUGGAAAGUUUCGGCGGUUGGGGAUGGACUCGCGGCUUAUCAGCUUGUUGGUGGGGUAGUGGCUUACCAAGGCUUUGACGGGUAGCCGGCCUGAGAGGGUGACCGGCCACAUUGGGACUGAGAUACGGCCCAGACUCCUACGGGAGGCAGCAGUGGGGAAUAUUGCACAAUGGGCGGAAGCCUGAUGCAGCAACGCCGCGUGCGGGAUGACGGCCUUCGGGUUGUAAACCGCUUUCGCCUGUGACGAAGCGUGAGUGACGGUAAUGGGUAAAGAAGCACCGGCUAACUACGUG